rnacentral:rRNA from 1 species
GAUGAACGCUGGCGGCGUGCCUAAUACAUGCAAGUCGAGCGAACAGACGAUGAGCUUGCUCCUCUGACGUUAGCGGCGGACGGGUGAGUAACACGUGGAUAACCUACCUAUAAGACUGGGAUAACUUCGGGAAACCGGAGCUAAUACCAGAUAAUAUAUUGAACCGCAUGGUUCAAUAGUGAAAGACAGUUUUGCUGUCACUUAUAGAUGGAUCCGCGUCGCAUUAGCUAGUUGGUAAGGUAACGGCCUACCAAGGCAACGAUGCGUAGCCGACCUGAGAGGGUGAUCGGCCACACUGGAACUGAGACACGGUCCAGACUCCUACGGGAGGCAGCAGUAGGGAAUCUUCCGCAAUGGGCGAAAGCUUGACGGAGCAACGCCGCGUGAGUGAUGAAGGUCUUCGGAUCGUAAAACUCUGUUAUUAGGGAAGAAAAAAUGUGUAAGUAACUAUGCACGUCUUGACGGUACCUAAUCAGAAAGCCACGGCUAACUACGUG